ACGGCAAAAAGAUUCUUCCGGGUUUCAUUGUUCAUAAGUGCUAUAUUUGCUUUCUAGAGCUUUUAUAUCCUUUUGUACACUCUUUUAUUGUGGUGCUUGUUCCAGUCAAGGGACUUGGAACAAGGGAAAGGGCGUCCCAAGCCUAAGAGAAAUUGGGGAUUUUGGGUUUGUUGUGAGCCCGGUGUAAAACAACGAGUUGGGUAGUGAACUCGCAAAACUACCAUACUGUAAUCUUGGAUUAUAGUGGAAAUUCCCAAAGGCGCUUUGGGGAGUGGAUGUAGGAGCGGUGAAGGCUCCGAACCACUAUAAAACCGUGUGUUUGUGGUUGUCUCUUCUUAUCGCUUUAUCUUUGCUUUAGUUCAUAUAUUUGUGUGUUUUAUUUUUAAAUUA
rnacentral:lncRNA from 1 species